rnacentral:rRNA from 1 species
AAGAAGGCCUUCGGGUUGUAAAGCACUUUUGUCCGGAAAGAAAUCCCUGGUCCUAAUAUGGCCGGGGGAUGACGGUACCGGAAGAAUAAGCACCGGCUAACUACGUGCCAGCAGCCGCGGUAAUACGUAGGGUGCAAGCGUUAAUCGGAAUUACUGGGCGUAAAGCGUGCGCAGGCGGUGAUGUAAGACCGAUGUGAAAUCCCCGGGCUCAACCUGGGAACUGCAUUGGUGACUGCAUCGCUUGAGUAUGGCAGAGGGGGGUAGAAUUCCACGUGUAGCAGUGAAAUGCGUAGAGAUGUGGAGGAAUACCGAUGGCGAAGGCAGCCCCCUGGGUCAAUACUGACGCUCAUGCACGAAAGCGUGGGGAGCAAACAGGAUUAGAUACCCUGGUAGUCCACGCCCUAAACGAUGUCAACUGGUUGUCGGGUCUUCAUUGACUUGGUAACGUAGCUAACGCGUGAAGUUGACCGCUGGGGAGUACGGUCGCAAGAUUAAAACUCAAAGGAAUUGACGGGGACCCGCACAAGCGGUGGAUGAUGUGGAUUAAUUCGAUGCAACGCGAAAAACCUUACCUACCCUUGACAUGUAC